UUGGAUUCGAUCCCUUUGGAAAUAUUGGUGACUGGCUUUUUCUGGAGUUUUCUGGCGAUUUUGGGGGGUAGAGGGGGUGAGGGGGGGGGUUUGCAGGUCGCAAUUGGGAUGGAUGCAUCGACUCCACAAGGAUGUAUCAUCAUUAUUAUUACUAUUUUUCUUCUUCUUCUUCUUCUUCUGAUUAUUGUACCCCAUCGAUGUUUUGAAGAAAGCCUCGGGAUGUACACUGCACAGGAUAUUAAGUGGAUUUAUUCUGAACACGUAACCCUGUGGAUUUUUUUUUAUAUGAUGAUGAUGAUGAUGAUGGAAGAAAAAAAAACCCCCCCCACACACACACACAUUUUUUUUUUGGGGGGGGAAUUAAUCAUUGCUUUUGCAAACGACACUUCGGAUCACCCCGAUGCCUACUCCGCCUUCAGUGUGUCUGAGCACCAAGUCGUCAUCAAGAUUACCCGCCUCACAAGGUUUCUCACAUGGUGGUGUGAAAUCUCUCAAUGGGUCAACCACAGAAAUGCGUAGGAGGUUCUUAUAGACAUUACAAUUUGCAUACCUGCUGACUGUCUCAAGAUUUCGAACAACAUCAGAUUCCAACGGGCGUCGAGGGAAAAGGGCGGCGGAGGCAUGUGAGACGAAACGAAGGCUGUCUUAAGCUCGAGUUGAGAAAGCCAAGUACCGUAAAAUGAACAUAGCAUGCCUGAGUAUGUAUUGCAAUACCCCACAAGUUUUUUUUAAAAGAAAGUACUGAAAGCUUAAUAAUGUGACUUUUUUGAUGCGUGUUAAAGAGACCAAAAAACAAACAGUUCAUAUUUUAAUACAAUUCUUAUUUAUUGCAAACAAUAAUAUACAAAAGGUAAGUUUAUUUAGAGACAGAUCUUUCCAAAACUCACCUAAAGGCAAAAUAUCUGAUUUGAUAGUUUUAAGUUACAGAAAUACUUUAACGUUCAACUUUUUAUACAGAAAAAAAAGGAGCUUCAGGCACAUUUACAGAGUACUUGAUUUCUGUAAGGCUGAAUUCCUGUUACGCUUUUCGAAUAAAACUGUUAACAAAUAUA